AUUGAACGCUGGCGGCAUGCUUUACACAUGCAAGUCGGACGAGUGGCGGACGGGUGAGUAAUGCAUCGGAACGUACCGAGUAGUGGGGGAUAACUGCCCGAAAGGACGGCUAAUACCGCAUAUUAUUGGAGCGGCCGAUGUCUGAUUAGCUGGUUGGCGGGGUAAAGGCCCACCAAGGCGACGAUCAGUAGCGGGUUUGAGAGGACGACCCGCCACACUGGGACUGAGACACGGCCCAGACUCCUACGGGAGGCAGCAGUGGGGAAUUUUGGACAAUGGGCGAAAGCCUGAUCCAGCCAUGCCGCGUGUCUGAAGAAGGCCUUCGGGUUGUAAAGGACUUUUGUCAGGGAAGCGGUACCUGAAGAAUAAGCACCGGCUAACUACGUGCCAGCAGCCGCGGUAAUAC
rnacentral:rRNA from 1 species